GAUGAACGCUGGCGGCGUGCCUAAUACAUGCAAGUCGAGCGAACAGACGAGGAGCUUGCUCCUCUGACGUUAGCGGCGGACGGGUGAGUAACACGUGGAUAACCUACCUAUAAGACUGGGAUAACUUCGGGAAACCGGAGCUAAUACCGGAUAAUAUAUUGAACCGCAUGGUUCAAUAGUGAAAGACGGUUUUGCUGUCACUUAUAGAUGGAUCCGCGCCGCAUUAGCUAGUUGGUAAGGUAACGGCUUACCAAGGCAACGAUGCGUAGCCGACCUGAGAGGGGGAUCGGCCACCCGGGAACGGAGACACGGUCCAGACUCCUACGGGAGGCAGCAGUAGGGAAUCUGCCGCAGUGGGCGGAAGCCUGGCGGAGCAACGCGGCGUGAGUGAUGAAGGUCUUCGGAUCGUAAAACUCUGUUAUUAGGGAAGAACAAAUGUGGAAGUAACUAUGCACGUCUUGACGGUACCUAAUCAGAAAGCCACGGCUAACUACGUG
rnacentral:rRNA from 1 species